GAUGAACGCUAGCGGCAGGCCUAAUACAUGCAAGACGAACGGUAAGUUGAGUAGCAAUACUUAGCCAAGAGUGUCGUACGGGUGCGUAACACGUAUGCAACCUACCCUAUACAGGAGGAUAGCCUAGGGAAACCUGGAUUAACCCUUCAUAGUAUUAUUGGAUGGCAUCAUUUGAUAAUUAAAACUGAGGUGGUAUAGGAUGGGCAUGCGUCUGAUUAGUUAGUUGGCGGGGUAAUGGCCCACCAAGACGAUGAUCAGUAGGGGUUCUGAGAGGAAGAUCCCCCACACUGGCACUGAGAUACGGGCCAGACUCCUACGGGAGCAGCAGUAGGGAAUAUUGGGUCAAUGGAUGCAAGUCUGAACCAGCCAUGCCGCGUGCAGGAAGAUGGCCUUCUGGGUUGUAAACUGCUUUUGCCAGGGGAUAAAAUUUCCAUGCGUGGAAAAACUGGAAGGUACCUGGUGAAUAAGCCACGGCUAACUACGUGCCAGCAGCCGC
rnacentral:rRNA from 1 species